GCCUUUGUAGUGUAAAUGUCAGCACAUUCGCCACGUAUUCAAAAGGUCCGAGGUUCGAAUCCCGGCAAAGGCG
rnacentral:tRNA from 1 species